GUGAACGCUGGCGGUAGGCCUAACACAUGCAAGUCGAACGGCAGCACAGUAAGAGCUUGCUCUUACGGGUGGCGAGUGGCGGACGGGUGAGGAAUACAUCGGAAUCUACUUUUUCGUGGGGGAUAACGUAGGGAAACUUACGCUAAUACCGCAUACGACCUACGGGUGAAAGCAGGGGAUCUUCGGACCUUGCGCGAUUGAAUGAGCCGAUGUCGGAUUAGCUAGUUGGCGGGGUAAAGGCCCACCAAGGCGACGAUCCGUAGCUGGUCAGAGAGGAUGAUCAGCCACACUGGAACUGAGACACGGUCCAGACUCCUACGGGAGGCAGCAGUGGGGAAUAUUGGACAAUGGGCGCAAGCCUGAUCCAGCCAUACCGCGUGGGUGAAGAAGGCCUUCGGGUUGUAAAGCCCUUUUGUUGGGAAAGAAAAGCAGCAGGUUAAUACCCCGCUGUUCUGACGGUACCCAAAGAAUAAGCACCGGCUAACUUCGUG
rnacentral:rRNA from 1 species